rnacentral:rRNA from 1 species
CCUACGGGAGGCUGCAGUGGGGAAUAUUGGACAAUGGGGGGAACCCUGAUCCAGCCAUGCCGCGUGUGUGAAGAAGGCCCUCGGGUUGUAAAGCACUUUCAGUGAUGAAGAACGCCUGGUGGUUAAUACCCAUCAGGAAAGACAUCACUCACAGAAGAAGCACCGGCUAACUCCGUGCCAGCAGCCGCGGUAAUACGGAGGGUGCGAGCGUUAAUCGGAAUUACUGGGCGUAAAGCGCGCGUAGGUGGCUUGAUAAGCCGGUUGUGAAAGCCCCGGGCUCAACCUGGGAACGGCAUCCGGAACUGUCAAGCUAGAGUGCAGGAGAGGAAGGUAGAAUUCCCGGUGUAGCGGUGAAAUGCGUAGAGAUCGGGAGGAAUACCAGUGGCGAAGGCGGCCUUCUGGACUGACACUGACACUGAGGUGCGAAAGCGUGGGUAGCAAACAGGAUUAGAUACCCUGGUAGUC